GUGGGCGUAGCUCAAUGGCAGAGCGCCUGACUGUGGAUCAGGAGGUUUGCGGGUUCGAGCCCCGUCGCCCACC
rnacentral:tRNA from 1 species